rnacentral:lncRNA from 1 species
UGCUGAAGCUAAAGCUCCAAUACUUUGGCCACCUGAUGUGAAGAACUGACUCAUUGGAAAAGACUCUGAUGCUGGGAAAGAUUGAAGGCAGGAGGAGAAAAGGUGACAGGGGAUGAGAUGGUUGGAGGGCCUCAUCAACUUAGUGGACAUGAGUUUGAACAAGCUCCGAGAGAUGGUGAAGGACAGGGAAGCCUGUCAUGCUGCAGUUCAUCGGGUCACAAAGAGUAGGACACGACUGAACACACUCACAUACCUAUUUAGUGGGUUCAUGGCUCCUCCCAAAGGCCUGCUGGGUGGUCCCAUGAAAGAUGAUGUUUGGAUGUUAGGCUUUGUUUUGCUUUGGGGGGGACAACAUUUGUCCCUGGGCUGCUGGGGAAUGAGGGAAGAAAUGCUGGUUGGGUUGUCUUGCAUGUGUGUGUGUGUGUGUGUCUGUGUGUGAGUGUGUGUGCCUUCCCUGGGGACCCAUCUGGAAAGCUGCUGGGAGAUGAACAGCCCAGGAGAAGGGAUGCCACCCUCAGGCACGCACACAUGCACGCGCGCACACGCAGACACACGGAUACACGCUGCAGGCAUGCAUGUUCCUAGAGCAGGGGUCACAGGGCUGCUGGCCUCCGAGACUGAGUUUCCCAACCCACAUGACGUGCAGACAUACAGCCGGGAGGGCCAGGGAGACCGGCAAGAAAAACAAACACGCUGGGGUCACUUCCAGCAGCUAGCUCCGUCCGAGCCUGCACGUGGGGUGCUGGAACUCGGCACGGGGUGGGGUCCAGCCCUUCCUGCAGGGCCAGCAUGGCUCCCAGACACGUGCAGAGCCCCCUGGAGGAUGGGGUCACCGGCACAGGUGGGGCAGGGCCUGGAAGCAGCCUCAGGCGAGAGCGCUGGUGAGGACCACCCGGUCCAGUGAAGAGGACCCUUGGUUCUGGUAUUCCAGGAUCCAGAGACCUGGACGCAGAAGCCCCUGUUUGCUGUGCCUACAGACCCCUGGGUGCUGCUGAGCCAGGCAAGUCCUUCUCUGUGGGGGGUGGUCCUGGGUUAGGGUGCUGGGACUGUUACAGCAUCCCUGCCCCUCCCCCUGGAAAUCACACAACCCCAGUGUCCACAGUGUCAGGUGUCAUAGGAACUCCAAGUCACACGCUGGGAAGCGCUGCAGUGGGGUGGGGGCCUGGAACCUGUGUGUCCUGCCUCCCAGGUUGGGACUGUGGACCCAGACUGAUCCCCUGCAUGGAAAACCACCAGCCCUGGCUGGAUGCCAGCGCCGCUUGUCUGAGAGGGGCCAGGAAAUGGCUGGGAGGGAUGGUGGACUGGACAAACAUCCCGAGAAUGUAAGCUGCUCCUCUACCCUGGCGCUUGCCUGCCCGCCCGCCCUGCCUGCUCUGGAGGGACCUUCACUCUGGGGUCCUGCCCCUGCCUGGACAGGGCCAGACACAGAGGCCCGGGAGACGGCUGCUUGGACACACCUGACACGUGUCACGUUAACCACAGCAAAGGGGGCCACCCUCCUGGGCCUCAGGUCCCCGUCCUGCAGAGGGGUGGCUGGUUUGGCACUCAUACCCUUGGGUGGUGACUCACGGGGGGCCCAGGGAGGACCCUGACCCUCACUCUGGCUGUGGGGCUGGUUUUGGGAGCCAGGCAUCCAGGGAGAAUGGAGAAUGGGCAAGUCACACGGUGGACAUCUGGCAGGAGCCAGACAGCAGGCUCAGGGCUGGGAUGCGAGCAUGCAAGCGGUUCCACGGGGGGCAAAGGUGGGCAGUGCUUCUCUAGGCCAAGGGAUGCCAGACUGCCAGCACCCCAAGAAGCAGGGGAGCACAGAAGACACCCCACCUCAGUAGGAGUUGCCCUGCCCACACCCUGACCUCGGACAUUCAGCCUCUAGCCCUGCAGGGGGGUAAGUCCCUGUUCCUUAAGUCCCUGGGUUCCUGGUGCUCUUCUGGGCUGCCCCAGACAGCUCAGCAGGUACCAUUUUCAGAGCUGGUGAGGAUCAUGCAGCAGGAGAGAAUGAGAUUCCAAUAUUACAAAUGAAGAAUCUCAAACAGAGAGAAGCAGGACUUCCUUGGCAGUCCAGUGGUUACAACUCAGUCUUCCAAUGCAUGGGGCAAAGGUUCCAUCCCUGGCUGGGGAGCUAAGAUCCCAUAUGACUUGGGGUUGAAAAACCGAAAUAAAACAAAAAACACAAGCAAUAUUAUAACUAGUUCAUUAAAGACUUAAAAAAUAGUCCACAUCAAAAAAAAAACCCAAAAAACAGAAAAGUUCCUAACAUUUUCAUCACCUCGGAGCUGGGAGAACUUCUCUUGGAUUCCCCCACCUGAUUCCCAGUCCACCCACCAGUCUGCUGAUGGCCUUUAUUCUGCCUUUCUUUCAAACUCAGUUUGGCUGCCACCUCCUCCAGGAAGCCUUCCUGGCUUGGUGUUGCCGUGGUCAUACUGCCUGAGUGCCACUGCCUCUCCAGCCACUCCACUAGGCUACAUCAGGGCUUUAAGCAAUCUUUGAACCCCUGGUGUCCUGAGCAGACACUCGAUAAGUGUUUUACAAACUAUGAAGCAAGGAGUGGGAGGGAUGUGUGUGAGGAGAUGGGUAACACAUGCCACAGCUGAUGUCACCCCCUCCCCUGAUCCCAUCUUCAGCCUCGGCCCUCAGCCCGUGACCUCUGCCCCUGUCUGCACGGGAGAGCUCUCAUUGGCUCAGACGCCCCUCCCCAGUUCUUCGGGGUCCAUUUCUCAUCCCAUCUUUAGCCCCAAAUUAGGACAUGAGGAAGAUUCAACUUGUAAUGUGUAGACUAGUCUCCGUGGUCCCCCACGUCAGAAGUGCAAUCUUGAACAAUCCCAGCCUCACAAGUCGUGAAUCUAUGGUGCAGCCUCUAUCUGUUCCCAACACGGUUCGUCUUAAGGACAGAGAAUCCCCCCCUUAAUGAGACUAGAGAGAAAACAACCAAAAAAAAGGACAAUCUAGGUCACAGAAGGGUAGGGAGGGGGCGGCCUGGAUACCAGGUGCCAAUCUUCUCACUUGCAAAUUGCCCAGGAGGGCUCCCCGGAGAGGUCAGCGGAGUUCCCAGACCACAGGAGGGUGAGAACUGGCCUCUGCUCCUCCCUGGAGAUCCUUGAGACACACCCUGCAUCCCCGCGUGCCUGGUGAGGUCCCCUCACUGACUCCUCAUUCAACAGAUGUUGGCUCAGAGGGAUGAAGCUCUGCUCAUGGCCAGCACAGCUCUGCAGGGUGAAAUCCUAAGGGUUUUCACAUGCUCUUGUGUCGCUGUUCAACACGUGCUAGGGCAACAGUGAAUGCUUAGGGGGAUGGGAAGGUGUGGGAACAGUUUGUGGAGGGCCCGGCAUGUGGCUAGUGCCCUGCUGGGCGCCUGAUGUUCCCAUAACUCUCCUUAACGUGGGAUGCGGCAUCUUCCUA